rnacentral:rRNA from 1 species
UACGAGGGGGGCAAGCGUUGUUCGGAAUUAUUGGGCGUAAAGGGUGCGUAGGCGGUUAGACAAGUCUUGUGUGAAAUCUUCGGGCUCAACUCGAAGUCUGCACAAGAAACUGUUUGGCUGGAGUGCGGGAGAGGCGAGUGGAAUGGUUGGUGUAGCGGUGAAAUGCGUAGAUAUCAAUCGGAACACCCAUGGCGAAGGCAGCUCGCUGGCCCGUAACUGACGCUGAGGUGCGAAAGCGUGGGGAGCAAACAGG